UACGGGGGGAGCAAGCGUUGUUCGGAUUUACUGGGCGUAAAGGGCGCGUAGGCGGCCACCGCAAGUCGACUGUGAAAUCUCUGGGCUUAACCCAGAAAGGUCAGCCGAUACUGCGGGGCUAGAGUGCAGAAGGGGCAACUGGAAUUCUCGGUGUAGCGGUGAAAUGCGUAGAUAUCGAGGGGAACACCUGCGGCGAAGGCGGGUUGCUGGGCUGACACUGACGCUGAGGCGCGAAAGCUAGGGGAGCGAACGGG
rnacentral:rRNA from 1 species